CCAAUCUGUUGCCUCGGCGGGAUUUCUGCCCCGGGUGCGUCGCAGCCCCGGACCAAGGCGCCCGCCGGAGGACCAACCAAAACUCUUUUUGUAUACCCCCUCGCGGGUUUUUUAUAAUCUGAGCCUUCUCGGCGCCUCUAGUAGGCGUUUCGAAAAUGAAUCAAAACUUUCAACAACGGAUCUCUUGGUUCUGGCAUCGAUGAAGAACGCAGCGAAAUGCGAUAAGUAAUGUGAAUUGCAGAAUUCAGUGAAUCAUCGAAUCUUUGAACGCACAUUGCGCCCGCCAGUAUUCUGGCGGGCAUGCCUGUCCGAGCGUCAUUUCAACCCUCGAACCCCUCCGGGGGGUCGGCGUUGGGGAUCGGCCCUCCCUUAGCGGGUGGCCGUCUCCGAAAUACAGUGGCGGUCUCGCCGCAGCCUCUCCUGCGCAGUAGUUUGCACACUCGCAUCGGGAGCGCGGCGCGUCCACAGCCGUUAAACACCCAA
rnacentral:rRNA from 1 species